GCGCUGAAAGCAUCUAAGCGCCAAGCCUAUCCCAAGAUGAGAUCUCCCUGAAGGGUCGUGGUAGACCACCACGUUGAUAGGCUUCGGGUGUAAGCACAGUAAUGUGUUCAGCUCAGAAGUACUAAUAACCCGUUCGGCUUGAUCAUUUA
rnacentral:rRNA from 1 species